GCCUGGCUGGCUCAGUCAGUAGAACACGUGACUCUUGAUCUCAUGGUUGUGAGUUCGAGCCCCAUGUUAGGUG
rnacentral:tRNA from 1 species